rnacentral:lncRNA from 1 species
CUUCAGUAUUACAAGAUCAGGACCCAGAACCAGAGAUUCCUGAGUCUCCACUAAAAAGGUUGUAUAGUUGCCAAAACAACUUUUCAGAAAGAGUAGCCAUGGAAACAGCACACCAGAUUGUCUCAAGGGGUGUAUAAAACAUCUGAAAACUGACUUGGAGCACUUGGCAAACACUGAGAGAGAACUUGGAACUGGAAUGUCACUGGAUCCACUUGGGAAAGUAUUUUACUGAGGAAAAGGAAACAAGAUGCCACCAAAAUGCUGGAGAGAACAAUUGUUAGGAUAAUAA